rnacentral:snRNA from 1 species
GGAUGUGAGGGCGAUCUGGCUGCGACAUCUGUCACCCCAUUGAUCGCCAGGGUUGAUUCGGCUGAUCUGGCUGGCUAGGUGGGUGUCGCCUUCCUUCCUCACUGCUCCAUGUGCGUCUCUCCUGAAGCUGCGCGCUCGGUGGAAGAGGACGACCAUCCCCGAUAGAGGAGGACCGGUCUUCGGUCAAUAGUAUACGAGUAGCUGCGCUCCCCUGCUAGAACCUCCAAACAAGCUCUCAAGGUCCAUUUGGAUUGUCUUUUUGUUGAGUUAGGACUAUUGAAUUUUAACUGAUGUAAAACAUUCCAUGAGU